rnacentral:pre_miRNA from 1 species
AUCACCUGGGGAUCUUGUUAAAUUGCAGAUUCUGAUUCAUGAGGUCUGGGGUGGGGCCCAAGAUUCUGCAUUUCUAACAAGCUCCCUGGUGAUACCAGU